rnacentral:rRNA from 1 species
UGGGGAAUAUUGCACAAUGGGCGAAAGCCUGAUGCAGCAACGCCGCGUGAGUGAUGAAGGUCUUCGGAUUGUAAAGCUCUGUCUUUUGGGACGAUAAUGACGGUACCAAAGGAGGAAGCCACGGCUAACUACGUGCCAGCAGCCGCGGUAAUACGUAGGUGGCGAGCGUUGUCCGGAUUUACUGGGCGUAAAGGGUGCGUAGGCGGAUGUUUAAGUGAGAUGCGAAAUACCCGGGCUUAACUUGGGUGCUGCAUUUCAAACUGGAUAUCUAGAGUGCAGGAGAGGAGAAUGGAAUUCCUAGUGUAGCGGUGAAAUGCGUAGAGAUUAGGAGGAACACCAGUGGCGAAGGCGAUUCUCUGGGCUGUA